UACCCAGGCGCACGAUCGAUAGCUGGUCUGAGAGGAUGAUCAGCCACAGUGGAACUGAGACACGGUCCACACUCCUACGGGAGGCAGCAGUGGGGAAUUUUCCGCAAUGGGCGAAAGCCUGACGGAGCGAUACCGCGUGUAGGAUGAAGGCCUUAGGGUUGUAAACUACUGUCGUCGGGGAAGAAAAAAAUGACGGUACCCGAAAAGGAAGCACCGGCUAACUCUGUGCCAGCAGCCGCGGUAAGACAGAGGGUGCAAGCGUUAUCCGGAUUUAUUGGGCGUAAAGAGUCUGUAGGCGGUCUGUUAAGUCUGAAGUCAAAUUGUCCAGCUCAACUGGACCUCCCUUUGGAUACUGAUGGACUAGAAUGUGUCAGGGGUUGGUGGAAUUCCCGGUGUAGUGGUGGAAUGCGUAGAUAUCGGGAGGAACUCCAGAGGCGAAGGCGACCAACUGGGGCACAAUUGACGCUGAGAGACGAAAGCGUGGGGAGCAAAAAGGAUUAGAUACCCUUGUAGUCCACGCCGUAAACGAUGAGUACUAGAUGUUGCAGGUAUCGACCCCUGCAGUAUCGUAGCUAACGCAUUAAGUACUCCGCCUGGGGAGUAUGCUCGCUAGAGUGAAACUCAAAGGAAUUGACGGGGACCCGCACAAGAGGUGGAACAUGUGGUUUAAUUCGAUGCAACGCGAAAAACCUUACCUGGGCUUGACAUGUCAGGAAUUCGGCUGAAAGGCUGAAGUGCCCGCAAGGGAGCCUGUAACACAGGUGCUGCAUGGUUGUCGUCAGCUCGUGUCGUGAGAUGUUGGGUUAAGUCCCGCAACGAGCGAAACCCCUGUUGUUAGUUGCCAUCAUUUAGUUGGGCACUCUAGCGAGACUGCCGGUGAUAAACCGGAGGAAGGUGGGGAUGAUGUCAAAUCAGCAUGGCCCUUAUGUCCAGGGCUACACACGUGUUACAAUGGGCGGUACAAAGGGUUGCAAGGCAGCGAUGCCAAGCUAAUCUCAAAAAGCCGUUCUCAGUUCGGAUUGGAGUCUGCAACUCGACUCCAUGAAGUCGGAAUCUCUAGUAAUCGCAGAUCAGCACGCUGCGGUGAAUGCGUUCCCGGGUCUUGUACACACUGCCCGUCACACCAUGGGAGUUUGCAAUGCCCGAAGUCGCCUUUUCGGCGCCUAAGGCAGG
rnacentral:rRNA from 1 species